rnacentral:lncRNA from 1 species
UUUAUUCAUGAGAGAUACACAGAGAGAGGCAGAGACAGAGGCAGAGGGAGAAAAGGGCUCCUCGCAGGGAGCCCAAAGCGGAACUCGAUCCCAGAACCUGGGAUCACGUCCUGAGCUGAAAGCAGAUGCUCAACUGCUGAGCCACCCAGGUGUCCCUCUUUUUAAAGAUUUUUUAAAAGUAAUCUCUAUACCCAACAUGGGCCUCAAACUCACAACCACAAGAUCCAGAGUCACAUGCUCUACUGACUGAGCCAGUCAGGCCCUCCUUCAUCUACAUUUUCAAACACUCAUCUUACCUAAAAGGUAAGCCAUUUUUUUGACUCAUUUUUUUAAACUAAAAUUCCCAAGUAGGAGGAAAGCAGGUAGAAAAUGUCAACACUAAUCAAAAUGUUGUCUUACAGCCUUGACAUAUUUUUUUUUUUUCUGAACACCACCACCAAAACACAAUUUAAGUAUAAUCUAGAAAUUCAGAUUAUGGGGUUAUUUUCCUGUUCCCAUAUUUUUCUUUACUGAGAGAGGCAGAGAUGAGGUAAAUGGGGGCUUUUUCCCACUGGGCAGGUGACAAUUUAAAGGGUCUGAUCUGUCUUGUGGGGCUGGUUGUCCUUGUGCCUCAGUCACGGGAGAGGAGGGAAGUUUGACAAAGGAGGAAGAUUAAAAUUUAUAAAAAGGCCACUGUUGAAAAAGGGACCCGUUGUUCCUAGGGGAAGAGUCUUCUGAUGGCCAGUUGGUCCGGAAGCUCUUGCUUCCUGUCCAAAACCAUAGUGCUGGGACAAACAGCCACUCCCAGGGCACUGGGACCUGGGAUGGAGGAGGCAGACAAACCUGAAACGGUGCAUGGCUCCGGGAGCCAGUGCUGGCCAUGGGGCCACAUCAUCAACCAGGGCCUGUUAAGUGUUGCAAGGUGGUCUGCAAGGGCCAUGAAACGCGAACCCUGGGGUCUGUGCCUUGAUUCCUUCUGACUAGGAUCCCACCCAAGAGUGGUGGGAGGCCUGAGAUUUGCCCUUGGGCACAGAGAACUGGAGAGUAAAUGCACUUCUUGAGAAGGGAACCAGAGCUUUCAUCAGCCUGUGAUGAGGAGAGAUGAGGCCUAGCAGACAAAAUUGGCACACCCAACACACAGGACCAUGGAAGGGUGGGAAAGAAGGGAGAAGGGAGAGAAAGGGAAAGGAGAGAAGGAAAGAGAAGAGGAAGAGAGGGAGACGUGGAAGAGAAGGGAGGACGAAGUAGAAAGAGCCACCAUUUCUUCCUAGGCCACAAAGAAGGUGUUGUCUAUGACUCAGCAGUGGAAUUCAAGUCUCCAAAGGGGAAAAAAGCAAAAGGAAAGAGAGCCGGGACUUGCACAGGUGACAGUCAAAGGGGGUAAACUGAGGAAGUGUUACUCUGUAGCCAGACACUGUCCCACAUCCUUCUUUUCCUCUUCAUGUUCAGGACUUCCCUUGAAAUGGACACUUUCUUGAGCCCCAUUUUCAUGCUAAGGAAGCUGAGCCUUAGAGAAGUCCACAUCUUUGGUUGCUUUGCCCAUGAUGUUUUCUUCUCUUGCUGCAAACCAAGAGCAGCCCAACCUGUGAGUCUGCACACAUGACAGUAUCUCCUAACACUUCUGAUGAGAAAAGAAAACUAGCCCAACGCCGUAAGGGGUGACAGUCUCCUGCCAGGAACCCUGGAAUCACACUAGAGCAGAGGGAAUGUGGGAGAGACCUGAUACCAUCAAGGGGCUGUGGAAGCAAAGGAAGAUAGUGAAGUAUGGACCACAGAGUAGAGCUGUAGGAGACGACCGAGGGGAAGCUCCUGGGUGUAGUUCACCAUGUCCCUUCAAAGAAAGGGCAGGCUGGAGCUUAGCUGAGGCAGUGCUUGUGGUGUGUGGGCCUGAGGUAGCCAUGGUGGGUGGGGGGGUGCUUACUGGUUGAGCAACAGCAAGGUGACCAACAAGACUGCAGCUGAGGGAGAGGAGAAGACAAAGGAGCAUGAAAUCCAAGGUGUAGCCCUUUCAGCCAUGGAAAGUUGUGUGGUUUUUACUCUUAGUGGGAUGGGAAGCAAAUGGAAGGAGGAGAGCCAAAUAAGUGCUGAAAUUGGACAUGGAACUCUUUGUACUUGGUAUUCAACAUUUUUGUAGCCUUGACACUUCUCUAAUUUAAAAAGUAUGUAAAAAUCUCUAUCUAUCCAACCAUCCACCCAUCCACCCAUCAUCCACCCAUCCAUCCAUCUAUCCACUUACAUCCAUCCAUCCACCAUCCAUCUAUCCACUUACCCAUCUAUCCUAUCCAUCCAUCCAUCCAUCCAUCCAUCCAUCCAUCCAUUUCCCUCUCUCUCUCUCCUCUUUCUAUGCUUUUUUAUAUGUAUCCCUAGUGGUCUAUUUAAAAACAAACAAGCAUAUUUUACUAACUUUUCUGCAUCUUGCCUUUCUAUUUAAUAUACUUGGAAAUCUCUAUAAGUCAGCUGAUAAACACGUAAAUCACCACACUAACAGCUGCUAAAUACCCCACUUCAUUUAGUAUUCCUAACCAACUUCUCAAGGUUUGUGUGUUUCCAUCAUGAAUACAUAUGUAAAGCACCUAAUUAUUAUUAUAUAAAAAUAUUAGACUUGGCUUUCAUCAUGCCCCACUCCCUGAAUGGGGGAAAGUGUGUGUUUCCAAACUAAACUAAAAUUCAGGUUUGCCACUGCCUUUACCUUACAUUUAUGAGUUUCCAUGUUCCCUUUAAGGCUUCGAGCCGGGCACACGUGGGCUGCAUCACUGAAGUGAUGUGGCUUUUUCUGCUGCCUGGGUGAAACCGUCUCUGAGGUGCGGUGGAAGGACAGCAAACCCCGGGUGUUGUAAGCAGAAGCAGAAUAAAAAUAGGAUGGGUCCUUGCAAAGAGGAAAUGAAGCCGAGAACUACAUGGGUCUCUAAGAAAGCCCUCCAGGCCUGUGGUUCUGAGGGACCAGGAGGGAGGAGGACACAGUGAGGAAGGAAGUCCACAGGAAGCAGGGCACACUCGGCCACAUCCAGUCCCGGGAGGGGAAGCCUCUUGUCUGUCCCCUCUGGGUCGCCAGCUCUGCCAGCAGAGCUCGAAUGUUUAUACAGCUUGGCUGGCAAGCAUGUUGGCAGGCGUGUUGGCCCUCGCUGGGUGGGACACCAGGCCCUGCUGGGGCUCUGAGAUCAGCUCGGAUGAGGCCUUCUCCUGGGUUCCCACCCAUCUUCCCAUUUCUGGCUGGACGCAGCCAGGUCCAGGCCAGCACACGGCAGGAAAGACCUGGGGAGAUUGGCCAAGGCCCCUGGUACC